GGUAGAUUAUAUACAAAAUGGACACCAAACAUGUUUCUUAUAUGUUUCAUGACACCCGUUUGCAGAUUUACCUGCUGCUUCUGUCUCUUAUGUAAUCAAUCAGGUUUUGAUCAGCUUUCACUUGGCACCUCCUUUUGAUUCAAUCUACCGUACAAAGAAUCUUGGGCAUCCACGUCCUCUAUUCGCCAGUUACGUUCAUUGCUCUUCGGGUCUGCCGUUGAGAUUUGUAAGAUCUUGUUAUGGAAUUUCGUUAAAGUCCGGCGGUGGCCAAUGCUUAU
rnacentral:lncRNA from 1 species